UUGUAUUUGUAUUCCUAGCAUUUGGUGCAUUCUUUGGUAUACGUUAAACUGCUUCAUAUGUGUAAUUGAUUCAGUUAAGUAGAGGCAAACCAAUGAGAAAUCAGGAAACGGCCAAACUGGGAGGACAGGGCUGCAAACAAACGAACCUGUUGAGCAUGUUUCUGUUCUUCUUGUCCUAAUUCUCCCUCUAGUGGCUUUUAGGAAACGUGCUCCCGACCUCAGAAGGGGAACAGCAUCUCCCAGAACCAGAUGAGAAAAACAGGAAGUCCCCAUCCUGGGUUAAAAGCACAAGUUUGGAGUGUCACCAUACCAAAAGGCAAUAUAUAAGAUAAUAAUAUAAUUCCAAGCAUCACUUCAUCCUUCCCCAACGUUUAUGCAAAUGUCUCUGGAAGGCUGAGCCAAGAUGUCGGAAUAAGGAAGGAACUUACUGAGUUCUCCCAAAUUAAUCUCCAAACAACUAUUUUUAAAAUGCCUCUAAACAAAUUCUGCAGACAAACAAAAUCAGCAGAACAACAAAAAGAUGAGGCAAAACAAUUUCUUGUCACAAGACUAUAGAAGGUUGGCAAGAAAAGAUCCAUUUCACUGAGGAAGAAGAGUGCUCCAUCCAGCAAACAUCUUUUCUCUCUCCAUCCUUUGGAUAGCAAACACAUCAACAUUAUAAUUUAUUGACUCCUGCUUCCCUAGCCCUUGAUCUGCUGCAACCUGGCUCUGACAUCAUUUCUACUGAAUGGAUCUUUAAAAGUUACCAACCCAGCUAACCUUGCAAGUAAGUGGUAACUUUAUAUAGUGUAUCUUUUUUUUUUUUUAAUUUCAGGAAUGUCGGGAAAUGCUCCUCUGUCCCUCUUAAGAAAUUAUUUCCCCUACUUCACUCAUUGAUGUCUAGAAUUCCACAGAUGCCCAAGCUUUUUCCUUCCAAAAUGGGCACUAUCCCCAGAAGAGAAAUUUAGAAUACCAUCAUUAAACAUUUUUGUUGAUCAGUUGUGGUCAAUUCUUCCAUGACCCUAUUUGGGAUUUUCUUUGCAAUGAAAAAAAUCUGAGGACAGAUUUGAACUUGGGUCUUCUUGACUCCAUCCCUGGUACUCUAUCUCCUAGAUGCCCCUCAUUAAAUAUAUUUCAGUGUAAAUGACUUUACAAGAUGCUUUCUUGAGAAAAGCUCUUGACAAUGGAAGGAUCAAGUGAAUGGAAGCUCUUGACAAUGGAAGGAUGUCC
rnacentral:lncRNA from 1 species